rnacentral:rRNA from 1 species
AACGAACGCUGGCGGCAUGCCUAACACAUGCAAGUCGAACGAGACCUUCGGGUCUAGUGGCGCACGGGUGCGUAACGCGUGGGAACCUGCCCUUAGGUUCGGAAUAACUCCCCGAAAGGGGUGCUAAUACCGGAUAAUGUCUUCGGACCAAAGAUUUAUCGCCUUUGGAUGGGCCCGCGUUGGAUUAGCUAGUUGGUAGGGUAAAAGCCUACCAAGGCGACGAUCCAUAGCUGGUCUGAGAGGAUGAUCAGCCACACUGGGACUGAGACACGGCCCAGACUCCUACGGGAGGAAGCAGUGGGGAAUAUUGGACAAGGGGCGAAAGCCUGAUCCAGCAAUGCCGCGUGAGUGAUGAAGGCCUUAGGGUUGUAAAGCUCUUUUACCCGGGAUGAUAAUGACAGUACCGGGAGAAUAAGCGCCGGCUAACUCCGUG